UCCUAGAUGGUAGAGCCUACUACACAUCUGGGCUAUACAGUAUACCCUAUUGCUCUUAGGCUACAAACCUGUACAGUAUGUUACUAUACUGAAUAGUGUAGGUAAUUUUAAUGCAAUGAUAAUAUUUGUGUAUCUAAACAUAGAAAAGGUACAGGAAAAAUAUAGUACAAAAGACAAAAAAUGGUACAUCUAUAAGGGCACUUGCCAUGAAUGGAUCUUAAAGGACUGGAAGUUGUCUAAGUGGUUCAAUAAGUGAGUGACCCUGACCAGCAAGAUCAUAACCCUGGAGGGGAGCCCAGUGAUGCCAUCGAAAAUGUGAAGGCCAAGAUCCAGGCUAAAGAAGGUGUUUCCCCAACCUGCAGAGGCUCACCUUUGCAGGUUGCUGGUGAGGUAUGCCUUCCCUCCUGGAGCCCUCGGUGACUGCAAAAGGUAAUUACUGAAACGGCUCAGCUCUGCUCAUGAUAUGGAAGCCUCACAUUUCUUGAAAUGACUUAACCUGCGGUGUGCUGAGCUUUCCCUGAAGAGAACUGGGAGCCAGAAACCCAUGUCAAUGAGUGAAAUAUUCCUUUUCUUCACUCAGGUAUAUGAGCUUACUGUAAUUACCUUUCUGGUCUGUUCAUUGCAAGUAGGUACCCAGGAGAGUGGGAAACACAGUCCUUUAAAGAGCCUGAUGAUAAACACGGUCAAAGAAAGCCCUUGAGAAAACGGUUGCACAGUGUUCUUGAAGCCAAGGCAUCUCAAGGGAUUUUCUGCUGGUCGAUGAAUCUGGGUCCUCGUAAGCUGCAGAACUUGGAGCACAUGAGCACACACACAUGCACACGCUCACACUCACAGAGCUAUUGCUCUUUAAAAAUCUAAUGCCUGGAGUUUCUCACGGGGAAUGCCGACAUACUAUGAGAAAGGAGAACAAAAGAGGAGCCAUGGGUGACUCAAUGAGCAUUUCACACAUCAAAGUAAGUGGCCAGAAGAUAGCCAAAACCACUGCCCCUCAUCUUCCACCACAUGCCUCACCCUCUGGCCAAGUUUCCUUCCCAUCCCAAAUUUGGCCUCUUGGCCUUCCCUGACCUUGACUUCUGGACCAAGGCUUCACAGGAGAUGAGACCCCUUUCUGUGAAGUGAAGUAGAAGUUCACCAGCUAGAGUCAGCCAGCAGGAUACCCAGCCAAAGCAACAGCAAUAAAAAGUCACAGGGGCUGGAACUGGAGCCACAUGUUGGGGAACUAUGAUUAGUUCAUUACAGCUCAGCUCUAGAAGACAAGGAAGAACAGGCAGGCCAAGUCCAGCUCAAGGAGAAAUCCGUAUGCUGAGCAAGAGCCUGGAUUUAAUGAAUUUCCAGUUGGCUGAAUUUAUGCUGCCUUUGAUACCUACUCAGUGCUUUCAAUACCACCUGCUUCUCCUGGCUUUGUUUUCCCCAAGCCUGAGAGGGGAUCCCUUGACUGCUGAUUAAAAGCUCUUCAGCAACAGCCUGUGAGUAUUUCACUGAUAACAUUCUCUUGACUGCUUCAUCAGGGCUGCCCUGGUGCAGGUGGGAGCCUGUGGCUGGGUCUCUCCAGACAGGUGUCCCUAGCUCUGGCCUUGAGCCUUCGGGAUCUUACAUGCAAAGAACCUAAAAGGAGGACAGGAAGGUUCCCAGGGCAGUCUUGUCCCAGACUUCACCCUUGCUUGAAUCACUUUUCCGUUUUAUACCUCGGCUCACCGGCACCCGCUUCCCCUUGUCAAUUCCGUGAAGUGAGUAGGAGGUUAUAUGGUGAACACUGUGUGCUCCUGGCUUAAAAGAGAAAGAAAGGAGAGGUUCUGUAUAGUUCUGCAGGGAUUUCAAAGCUAACCCUUGCCGACUGUGUGGAGGGAGGCAGGGCUCACAUAUAAGUGAGCUCUCAGGGCUGGAAUUUCCCUGGGUGGAAGUGCUGGGCUCAGAAGCUUUGGUCCAGCUUCACAGCUCCUUCAUCUACAAAAUCACACAGAGCUGUUACAUAAUCUCUGCUGCCUCUUGCAGGUCUGAGAUUCCUGGAAACAUACCCUAGUUGUUAAUAUCCGUUGUUCUUGUUCAGUGAGAUUGAUACCUAGAAGCCAAGGGAGAAACACGAGUGCCCUUGGGUCUUUCUACCUGCAUGCUUGAGUGAGAGCUGUCCAAGGUGCUAAGGAGCUAGAGGGAACAAAAUCAUUUAUCAUGCAAACUAGGCAACUUCAGAAAAUGAAAAAGCAUGCUCUGGGUAUUUCUACCAGGACAACAGGCCUAGACUGGAACAAUUCAAAGCACUGUGUCUCUGGGUGCAAAGCUCCUUGUUACUAAUAUUUGAAUAUUCUCACUGAGGUUUCUUCACAGUUUGUACCUGGAGAACAGAAAUGAUGAUUACAUGGAGAACCUUGUUCUGACCCCUAAGAUGAAGUGGGUGGGUUUGAUUCCUUGUUACCAAGGUAACCUCUUUCAAUAAGCCUUGAAAAGAUAAUUACUCUGUGUGAAGACUUUUCUGCUUUGCAUGGCGCACCAAUACAGUUCAGAGACAAUACAUUUCCAUACGAAACGACAGACACAGGCAGGAUCGCCUUGAUUUUAUGAAGUGCAACUAUUCAAAGUAUAAACAUCUGUCUAUAAAAGGACUUAAUCGGCUUUAGUUUAUGUGUCUUGUCUUAAUAUAUAAGAUACAAUUUUAGAACUAUAAGGAUUUAAAACAAUAAACAUGCCCAAUUUCCCCAUUUUA